AUUGCACGCUGGCGUCAGGCUUAACACAUGCAAGUCGAACGAGUGGCGGACGGGUGAGUAAUGUCUGGGAAACUGCCUGAUGGAGGGGGAUAACUACUGGAAACGGUAGCUAAUACCGCAUACCAUCGGAUGUGCCCAGAUGGGAUUAGCUAGUAGGUGGGGUAAUGGCACACCGAGGCGACGAUACCUAGCUGGUCUGAGAGGACGACCAGCGACACGGGAACUGAGACAAGGUCCAGACUCCUACGGGAGGCAGAAGUGGGGAAUAUUGCACAAGGGGAGCAAGGCUGAUGCAGCGGUGCCGCGUGUAUGAAGAAGGCCGUCGGGUUGUAAAGUACUGUCAGCGGGGAGGCGUUACCCACCCAAGAGGCACCGGCUAACGCCGUGCCAGCAGCCGCGGUAAUUC
rnacentral:rRNA from 1 species